CCGCCAUUCUCUGUCCGGAGAAAGAUGGUUCGUUUCAGGUUAAGCUCUGAUGAUUCUCUAUCAAUCUAUAAUGCUUCUUCAAAGACAUAAAAAUUCUGAUCAAUUCAUCUGUAUACUAACCAAACUUGUUGUCUCUAUGGGUAUGUCACAUCUACCGGAUGAGGAUUAUGGCAAACACUGAAGAAAACAACUCAGUGACAUCUACCUGGAUCUUGUGGAUGCCCUCUUC